rnacentral:rRNA from 1 species
AGAGUUUGAUCCUGGCUCAGGACGAACGCUGGCGGCGUGCCUAACACAUGCAAGUCGAGCGGAGGAUUCAAGAUGUUUACAUCGCGGAUCCUUAGCGGCGGACGGGUGAGUAACACGUGGGUAACCUGCCUCAAAGUGGGGGAUAGCCUUUCGAAAGGAAGAUUAAUACCGCAUAAGCCUCCGGUGCCGCAUGGCGCUGAAGGAAAAGGAGCAAUUCGCUUUGAGAUGGACCCGCGGCGCAUUANCUANUUGGUGAGGUAACGGCUCACCAAGGCCACGAUGCGUUACCGACCUGANAAGGUGAUCNGCCACAUUGGAACUGANACACGGUCCAAACUCCUACGGGAAGCAGCAGUGGGGAAUAUUGCACAAUGGGCGAAACCUGAUGCNACCAACCCCCCCUUUAAUUUANUNAAAGGCCUUCCNGGUUCUUAAAACUCUUUGAUCCGGGGAUGAAAAAUGAACANUUCCCUGAAAAACAANCCCCGGGUAACUACUUNCCACCACCCCCGGUAAUACUUUUGUUGGAAACUUUUUCGAAUUACNGGCNUUANG